AUUAAUAUGAAAUAAAUAAUUAAAUAAAUAAGCAUAAAGACCUACCUCAAUCUUCCACUCCGUCUUUAGAAAACAGAUGCCUAAUGAUACUGCUGCUGAGAAAUUGCCCUUAAUUUGAUUUGCUCUUCUUUGGAAAUUAUUUAGCACUGCUUCUUGUGCUUCUGUUUGGACUACUUGAAAUCUACAAUAGCCUCCUGACUGGCUUCCAAAUGGCUUCCGACUGCUUCAGGUCGGCUAGGAUGACCCCUCCGACUGUACUGCAGUAGGAGGAUCUCUCCGGGUACUCUCUGAUCAUCUCCACCUUUUCUCCCUGGGGGUGCAGGUAGGGGGAAUAUGAGGAUUUGUUUAUUAUUUUUUUGUUGAAGUGCCCAAGAAUGCAGCAGCAUUCUCAGACACUUGUGUUUAGCAUUUUUUUUUCUUUGUAUUUAUUUAUGCAUUCAUGGUAAUAAAUUUUGCUUAUUAAUUUAAAAAAAA